rnacentral:tRNA from 1 species
ACCUCGAUAGCUCAAUUGGCAGAGCGCCGGUCUCCAAAACCGGAGGUUGUAGAUUCGACUUCUACUCGGGGUG